UACGUAGGUGGCAAGCGUUAUCCGGAUUUAUUGGGCGUAAAGGGAACGCAGGCGGUCUUUUAAGUCUGAUGUGAAAGCCUUCGGCUUAACCGGAGUAGUGCAUUGGAAACUGGGAGACUUGAGUGCAGAAGAGGAGAGUGGAACUCCAUGUGUAGCGGUGAAAUGCGUAGAUAUAUGGAAGAACACCAGUGGCGAAAGCGGCUCUCUGGUCUGUAACUGACGCUGAGGUUCGAAAGCGUGGGUAGCAAAC
rnacentral:rRNA from 1 species